UGCCCAUUUGGGCAGAGGGAUCCUCCUCCUCUCAUCACUGACUGAUUUCUCCAAGCUGCUGCUGUACCAUGGAGGACAGACGCCGUGACCCUGUUAUCCAGGAGCAGUCACCUCAACAGCAUAAGGAAUAUCUCCAGAGAGGAAGACUCCAUGACCACCUUGGGCAACCUUUUCCACAGGUGUAGAAACUUUUUCACAGGGAAAAUGUUUUUUUUUCUCAGGUUUGCAUGGAACUUUCUACACCUCAACUUCCAACCAUUGUCUCUUGUCCUGUCAUUGGGCAAUGUUUUGUUGGAAGGUAAUUGCAUGUUAAUGAUCAUCUGAUAAUAAUGAAGAAUUAAUGACCCAACUCAGUACUGUUAAGGGUUUCCUGGCUCUGAAUUCUGUUUCCAGAGGUAUGCAGCCCUUGUCAUUUUUAUAAUGUUGUUUAAUUUCUCUUUGCUUUUAAACUUGUUUCUCUGGAAAGGCAAGCCAAAGGUAAUUUUAUGUUAACAUGUAUUAAAGAAUGUAUUCUCUCCUUAUGUAUCAGAAAAAAUAAUAACCAGAACAACAUCAAUAAAUUUUCAGUUCUCUCUUGUA